rnacentral:rRNA from 1 species
UACAGAGGGUGCAAGCGUUAUUCGGAAUUACUGGGCGUAAAGGGUGAGUAGGUGGUUAUGUAAGUCAUAUGUGAAAUACCUGAGCUUAACUUGGGGGGUGCGUAUGAUACUGUGUUACUAGAGUACUGUAGAGGGUGGUGGAAUUUCCAGUGUAGCGGUGAAAUGCGUAGAUAUUGGAAGGAACACCAGUGGCGAAGGCGGCCACCUGGACAGAUACUGACACUGAGUCACGAGAGCGUGGGUAGCAAACAGG